rnacentral:rRNA from 1 species
AGAGCGAACGCUGGCGGCAGGCCUAACACAUGCAAGUCGAGCGCCCGUAGCAAUACGGGAGCGGCAGACGGGAUAGUAACACGUGGGAACGCGCCCUUCGGUUCGGAAUAACUCAGGGAAACUUGAGCUAAUACCGGAUACGCCCUUACGGGGAAAGAUUUAUUGCCGAAGGAACGGCCCGCGUCCGAUUAGCUAGUUGGUGAGGUAAUGGCUCACCAAGGCGACGAUCGGUAGCUGGUCUGAGAGGAUGACCAGCAUCACUGGGACUGAGACACGGCCCAGACUCCUACGGGAGGCAGCAGUGGGGAAUAUUGGACAAUGGGCGCAAGCCUGAUCCAGCCAUGCCGCGUGGAUGAUGAAGGCCUUAGGGUUGUAAAGUCCUUUUAACGGGAAGAUAAUGACGGUACCGUAGAAUAAGCCCGGCUAACUCGUGCCAGCAGCCGC